UUGACCAGGAAUCGCCCCAUUCCCCUCUUCUCUCUCCCCUGCAUCGCUCUCCUCCUCCAUCCCCAGCGAAAAAUUUGUCUCCUCGGCGGCCAGAGAUCCAGCAGGGUGGUGCAUCUAGCCACGGGGAUGGUUGUCCUAGUUUAUUGGAGAAGUGGCGGAGGAGCGCCGACGGCGCCGACGCGCGGAUCGGAGCGAGCAAUGGUGAGAGGGCUCGACGAGAGGGGCAUCGGCGGCACAGACUCGCGGAUCUAAGCACCCGUGUUGAGAGUGGACGGCGGAGGAGGAUUGGCGGCAGGGUGCUGCAUCCGAGCCCUGCCAAACUUGGGUCUAUUUUUGGUUGCCAGAAUGAGACCACGCACGUAUCCAAUCAAUGGAUCAGGGAAGAAAACAAUGACGCGGACAGCCUUGAGAUGGUCUGCAGCUGCGUGUAGCAGGUCUUCCAUGGCCUGCAUGCCAGCGGCGACGCUGAGCAGGUCUUGAAGGCGCGCCGCCGGCUGCCGGGAGAGGCAGAGAAGAAUGAUCCCAAUAUGGCGGCCUGGCAGCGUGAGGGAAGGGAAGGUGGCGUACGGCUGGCCGGCAGUCCCUAACCUUAGCUCGUAGAUGCUGGUCGCGUGGCCGAAGCUGUCUGACUGUAAUUUUUCGACAGGUUCAGUAUGUUUUAUCUGUUUGUAUUGCCUCAGCGGGAUGUAUUAUCAUUGUUAAAAUGUGCAAGAGGUUGUUCAUAUGGAUGUUGUUUUAUACUUGUAUCGGAUGUAUUUUUCCUAGUUCACAUGGUCAAAUUAUACAUCAGAAUGAUCGAAUAUUCCUUUACAGCCAAAGGAUGUACUUAUCUUUGUCAGGAUGUAGUUAUUGUACAUUUUUUACAUCAUGGAUAAAGCUCACAUUAUUAUA